CUCAACCUCGGGACUGCCUUGGAUACGGGAUUGCUUGAGGAUCGGAGAGGCAAGGGGAAUUCCACGUGUAGCGGUGAAAUGCGUAGAUAUGUGGAGGAACACCAGUGGCGAAGGCGCCUUGCUGGCCGAUUUCUGACGCUGAGGCGCGAAAGCGUGGGGAGCAAACAGGAUUAGAUACCCUGGUAGUCCACGCCGUAAACGAUGAGUGCUAGGUGUUGGGGGGUACCACCCUCAGUGCCGAAGCUAACGCAUUAAGCACUCCGCCUGGGGAGUACGGUCGCAAGACUGAAACUCAAAGGAAUUGACGGGGGCCCGCACAAGCAGUGGAGCAUGUGGUUUAAUUCGAAGCAACGCGAAGAACCUUACCAAGACUUGACAUCCCGCUGGCCGGAUUAGAGAUAGUCCUUCCCUUCGGGGCAGC
rnacentral:rRNA from 1 species